rnacentral:rRNA from 2 species
CCUGGCGGCGAUAGCGCGGUGGUCCCACCUGACCCCAUGCCGAACUCAGAAGUGAAACGCCGUAGCGCCGAUGGUAGUGUGGGGCUUCCCCAUGUGAGAGUAGGGAACUGCCAG